AUUGAACGCUGGCGGCAGGCCUAACACAUGCAAGUCGAGCGGAGCGGCGGACGGGUGAGUAAUGCCUAGGAAUCUGCCUGGUAGUGGGGGAUAACGUCCGGAAAGGGGCGCUAAUACCGCAUACUAUCAGAUGAGCCUAGGUCGGAUUAGCUAGUGGGUGGGGUAAAGGACUACAAAGGCGACGAUCCGUAACUGGUCUGCGAGGCGGAUCAGUCACACUGUAACGUAGACACGGUCCAGACUCCUACGUGAGGCAGCAUUGGGGAAUUGUGGACAAUGGGCGAAAGCCUGAUCCAGCCAUGCCGCGUGUGUGAAGAAGGUCGUCGGAUUGUAAAGCACUUUAAGUUGGGAGGCGUUACCAACAGAAUAAGCACCGGCUAACUUCGUGCCAGCAGCCGCGGUAAUAC
rnacentral:rRNA from 1 species